AAUCUACAGUCCAUUGUUUGUACUGCCUUGCACAGCACUGACAAGAAACUGCACUUUAACAGCUAUGUUUUUCGUGUUUAUAAAAAUGAGGAAUGCUUGUAAAAGACUCAUGGGAGAAGAAAGUUACAGAUAACAAAAGUGACAUAACCCAUGUGCCUAAGAAGCCCCUGUCAAAAGGCAUGCGAUGCUUCUUUAGGUAAGUAACAUUUCGUUUGGUAAAAAUCACUCCUAGAAAGUCUGGGAAAACAGACAGGAAGGUGCUGUAA
rnacentral:lncRNA from 1 species